GGCCAAGUAAUUAUUGGAUAAUAUUUGUUUUGAAAGCAAUAUAAAGAGGUUCAAUUCCUCUCUUGGUCU
rnacentral:tRNA from 1 species